rnacentral:rRNA from 1 species
UAUACGACCGUACCGCAAACCGACACUGGUGCGCGAGAUGAGUAUUCUAAGGCGCUUGAGAGAACUCAGGAGAAGGAACUCGGCAAAUUGACACCGUAACUUCGGAAGAAGGUGUGCCCUAUUAGUGUGUAGUGAACAACGAAGCAUGAAUGGGUUGCAAAAAAUCGGUGGCUGCGACUGUUUAUUAAAAACACAGCACUCUGCAAACACGAAAGUGGACGUAUAGGGUGUGACGCCUGCCCGGUGCUGGAAGAUUAAAUGAUGGGGUGCAAGCUCUUGAUUGAAGCCCCAGUAAACGGCGGCCGUAACUAUAACGGUCCUAAGGUAGCGAAAUUCCUUGUCGGGUAAGUUCCGACCUGCACGAAUGGCGUAACGAUGGCCACACUGUCUCCUCCUGAGACUCAGCGAAGUUGAAAUGUUUGUGAUGAUGCAAUCUCCCCGCGGAAAGACGGAAAGACCCCAUGAACCUUUACUGUAGCUUUGUAUUGGACUUUGAACAGAUCUGUGUAGGAUAGGUGGGAGGCUUUGAAGCAGGGUCGCUAGAUCUUGUGGAGCCAACGUUGAAAUACCACCCUGGUGUGUUUGAGGUUCUAACCUAGGUCCAUUAUCUGGAUCGGGGACAGUGCAUGGUAGGCAGUUUGACUGGGGCGGUCUCCUCCCAAAGCGUAACGGAGGAGUUCGAAGGUACGCUAGUUACGGUCGGACAUCGUGACGAUAGUGCAAUGGCAUAAGCGUGCUUAACUGCGAGACUGACAAGUCGAGCAGAUGCGAAAGCAGGACAUAGUGAUCCGGUGGUUCUGUAUGGAAGGGCCAUCGCUCAACGGAUAAAAGGUACUCUGGGGAUAACAGGCUGAUACCGCCCAAGAGUUCAUAUCGACUGCGGUGUUUGGCACCUCGAUGUCGGCUCAUCUCAUCCUGGGGCUGUAGCCGGUCCCAAGGGUAUGGCUGUUCGCCAUUUAAAGAGGUACGUGAGCUGGGUUUAAAACGUCGUGAGACAGUUUGGUCCCUAUCUUCCGUGGGCGCUGCAGAUUUGAGGAAGCCUGCUCCUAGUACGAGAGGACCGGAGUGGACACACCUCUGGUGUAUCGGUUGUCACGCCAGUGGCAUUGCCGAGUAGCUAAGUGUGGAAGAGAUAACCGCUGAAAGCAUCUAAGCGGGAAACUCGUUUCAAGAUGAGAUCUGCCGGGGCCUUGAGCCCCCUAAAGAGUCGUUCAAGACCAGGACGUUGAUAGGUCAGGUGUGGAAGC